AAGCCAGCCACGUCGUCGAGGUGGGCAGGGUCCACACUGCUGAUGCUGCUACGUGUGUGAACGAGUCUCCUCGUGUUGUUGCUCUCUCUCGCCAUCUCCCUUGGUGCCGUAAUUCUGACUGCAAUUUCUCGACGAUGUUGUGGCAUGAGACAACUUGUGGAAGUGCCGGGGAAGGCAAAUCAUCUAGUCCAGACAGAACAGCUGCUUCUCUGCAGAAUUUUCUUCCUGCAGGUCAUGUGGUGAUCGAUCGCUGGAAAUAACAUCCGUUGUUGAUUCCUGUGCAGUCAACAAUCAAAUACCUUUAUUAGGAUCCGAUUUGACAUCAAAUGCUAAACCCUAAAUGUACUCAUAUUGUGAUCUCUAGCAAGUAAGGACCAGCGCUUGUGUGGCUCAGCGGGUGCUUCUCGUUCUUCGUGAUGACAGAGGUGUCUCAAAGCGUGUCGUUGCUUUGGGUCAAAGCUUGUGGGAAAGUGUCUUGUACACUCUAACUCAUUGACUUGAUAAUCAUCUAGUUUGAAGUUUCGGUGUGCAAUCAUCAAAUGGAAAGAGAGGUUGGAACACAAUCAAGGUGCUUGAGCCCUGCAGCCACUUACAGUGUCCAGAUUCUUAAUACAUUUUGAUUUUUCACUUCAUGUUUUCAUGGAAUUCAUGUUAUUUA